UACGUAGGUGGCGAGCGUUGUCCGGAUUUACUGGGCGUAAAGAGCGCGCAGGCGGUCGUACAAGUCGCGUGUGAAAGCCCCCGGCUCAACUGGGGAGGGUCACGCGAUACUGUUCGACUCGAAGGCAGGAGAGGGAAGUGGAAUUCCCGGUGUAGUGGUGAAAUGCGUAGAUAUCAGGAGGAACACCAAUAGCGAAGGCAGCUCGCUGGGACGUUACUGACACUGAGGCGCGAAAGCGUGGGGAGCGAACAGG
rnacentral:rRNA from 1 species